CAACCCUCGAACCCCUCCGGGGGGUCGGCGUUAGGGAUCGGCCUCCUCUCACGGGGGCCGUCUCCGAAAUACAGUGGCGGUCUCGCCGCAGCCUCUCCUGCGCAGUAGUUUGCACACUCGCAUCGGGAGCGCGGCGCGUCCACAGCCGUUAAACACCCCAAACUUCUGAAA
rnacentral:misc_RNA from 1 species